rnacentral:lncRNA from 10 species
UCGCCCAGACUGGAGCGUAACUGAAAGCUCCACCUCCCAGGUUCACGCCAUUCUCCUGCCUCAACCUCCUGAGUAGCUGGGACUACUGGCGCCGGGCUAAUUUAUUUUUAUUUUUUAUUUUUAGUAGCGACGAGGUUUCACCAUGUUAGCCAGGACGGUCUCGAUCUCCUGAUCUCGUGAUCCGCCUGCCUCGGCCUCCCAAAGUGUUGGGAUUACAGGCAUGAGCCACCGCGCCCGGCCAACCAGCAUGUUCUUUAGGAGUGCAUAUUUAGGUGGCAAAACUCUAAAGCAAAACAACAGUUGAUUAUUAUCCAAGCCGGGAUAGCUGUUACCUCUAGGAAAGCAGCCACAGGAAAUUAAUAUAACUGCGAAGGAAAAGAUUUCCCCUGCUCGAGUCUCCCUGCACUCCUACCCAUCUGAGAGAAACAGAACUGUUGAGUAGCUGAUGCAAUUUCAUCCAUAAUAUUGUGGAUUCACCAUUGAUUCAGCAUCUGAUCCUCAGCACUGUAUAUCUAAGAACUCAUUCUCCUUGGUUCAUCAGGCAUGAUCAGAUUAAGGAUUCAUACACACUGACCUAACUCACAGGAGAGAGUUAUAAAUCAGAACACCAAUUUAUUGCCUUGUUCAUGGAAAUAGAAACACUACAUGUGUCAGCUUACUCAGAUCAGCAGCUAAACACUGUUCAGUGUUGAUUGGGAAAUAUAAAGCCAGAAUGAAGGCAGCUGGUUCAUCUUGAUAGCAAAUGUUACCAAAUCUCAUAGUCUGGUGCCCUAAUCUCCAUGGGAUUAGAACAUGUACAUCGACCAGAGAGGUUCUCUUUCUCCUGACUAUGCUGGGACAUUCUGGCAAAUUCUGACUCAUCACUCCCUUUCUAGAAUCCUUAAAGACCAUCAUCACGCUAUUUCAAGAAUAUUCCUUCAGAUGUGUUACAAAGAUUAAAUGUUGAUUUAUGGUAUCUCUAAAGAUUUGGAUUGUAGUCUCAUCAGAAAUAUUUAUUUAUAAGCCAUCUCUUCAUUCACUCGUUGAUUCAUCCAGAAAUGCUAUUCAGUAUUUAUUAAGUGCCAGGCGUUGUGCUAAGAUUUGAGACACAGAGAUAAGAUAAAGGUCCCAUUCUCCAAGACUCUUGUUUUUUUAGUGGAUUAAAAGCUGCUAAUGUAUUCCUUCUGUAGAUAUACAUAAUUUCACCAAUUUCUUGUGACUUCAUGAACCUUAUUUUUGCAAGACAACAUGUCCUAAUUCUUGUCAAAUUUAGGGAUGGUGGUAUUGGGGAGCUACAAACCAGUCAAAUCAAUUCAAUGAAAAAUCCUAUUAUUUGAACAAUUUUAAUCACAUCUGAUUUUGACUAUUUUAUCUAAGUGUUAACAUUUCACUAGUUGAGUGUUACAAUGAGCCUAGCAUUUAAACAGUCUUAGUUAUGUUAACAUUCUUAAAAACAGAGAAGUGGCAGCCAGGCACGGUGGCUCAUGCCUGUAAUCCCAGCACUUUGGGAGGCCGAGGCGGGCGGACGCCUGAGGUCAGGAGUUCAAGACCAGCCUGACCAACACGGAGAAACCUCGUCUCUACUAAAAAUACAAAAUUA